rnacentral:sRNA from 1 species
AGGAAAUGUGAGGGCUGGUGGCAGGAACGCCUGUUGCAAGGGGUAACGGUGGGUAGUAGAGCAGAAGCGUGGAAAUAAUUGGUCUCAAGGCUCUGACAGAGCUUUGGUUUAGGUGGUUUCUGCCCUAAGAAUGUUGAGAUCACAACUGUCUGUGCAUGGGGGCUGGGGGAUUAUAUGUACUGAUGGGCGUAUACAUAUAGAAUAUAUAUGGACGAUGUAUCCAUUGCGCCUCUGCUUAUAAGAGAGAGGACAGGAGGGCAGUGCGUUACCUUCUCCCUCCACCCGGUUCCUCUCCUCCAAGCCUUUUGUGGAGAUCUGCAUGAAACAACACAACAAAUAUGAAGCCAAGAAGUAUGCUUCCCGCGUGGGUCCCGAGCAGAAGGUCAAGGCUUUGCUUCUUGUUGGCGAUGUGGCUCAGGCUGCAGAUGUGGCCAUCGAACACCGGAAUGAGGCUGAGCUGAGCCUCGUAUUGUCCCACUGCACGGGAGCCACAGAUGGGGCCACAGCUGACAAGAUUCAACGGGCCAGGGCACAAGCCCAGAAGAAGUGAGGAGUCCACCCUGUACAUCUCGAGCAAGGGGUUCCUCCCCUAGCACCUGGGCUUGACAGAAGGGCCAUAGUUCAUCCAGCUCCUCCCCUAGGACAAUGCUGAGGAGGAGGGGCGUGGUAGCAAGGCUGUCUGGUUUUAAAUAAAGUUGGAACGCUUUA